CACCAGCUCUGUGUGGACAGCGGGGCCGGAGGGAAGCCGCGACUCCUGUCAGGAGGCCCCUGGGCAUCCCCAUGAGACAUGAAGGAGCUGGUGCCACAGAGAAGUCCCCGCUGCUGCCAAGGAUGCCACCUGAUGCAGAGGGAGCGCCCCCCUGCUUCUCCCCUCCUCCACCCUCCAGUCUCCUGCUGGCGGAACCCAGCUGAAAUCAGGGCCAAGGCAGCCUGGGCGAGUCAGUUCUCGCCACACAGAGGAGUGAUGACAACCCCUAACCGAAGGACUGAAAUCAGCAAGGCUGACCACACUGAGUGCUGCAGGGGAUGCAGACCCCCAGGCACUCUCAGGCCCACGGGGCAGGGAAUGGAAGUCACUAACCACCACCCCCAGAAAACUGGCAACCUGCACAGCCCCCGGGCCCUAGCAAUCCCACUCCUGAGGGGUAACCCCGAGACCCCAGGAGCCCUCCCCCACAGGCAGAUGCACAGAUGUUCACAGCAGCAGCGUCGCUCAGGGAACGUCCCUGGAGACAACCCACAUAUUCCCCCAGCAGGACAAUGGAUAAACAGUGUGAUGCAGCCAUUGGACGGAAUACUGCUUGGUGAAGAAAAAGAACAA